rnacentral:rRNA from 1 species
CCUACGGGAGGCAGCAGUGAGGAAUAUUGGUCAAUGGGCGGGAGCCUGAACCAGCCAAGUAGCGUGAGGGAUGACGGCCCUACGGGUUGUAAACCUCUUUUGUAAGGGAAUAAAGUGAGGCACGUGUGCCUGUUUGUAUGUACCUUAUGAAUAAGGAUCGGCUAACUCCGUGCCAGCAGCCGCGGUAAUACGGAGGAUCCGAGCGUUAUCCGGAUUUAUUGGGUUUAAAGGGAGCGUAGGGGGGCCGUUAAGUCAGUUGUGAAAGUUCGCGGCUCAACCGCACAACCGCAGUUGAGACUGGCAGUCUUGAGUUCAGGAGAGGUAGGCGGAAUUCGUGGUGUAGCGGUGAAAUGCUUAGAUAUCACGAAGAACUCCGAUUGCGAAGGCAGCUUGC